rnacentral:rRNA from 1 species
UCGAGGAUCUUCGGCAAUGGGCGCAAGCCUGACCGAGCGACGCCGCGUGUGCGAUGAAGGCCUUCGGGUUGUAAAGCACUGUCGAGGGGGAGGAAAGUCCGCAAGGACCUGACCUAUCCCUGGAGGAAGCACGGGCUAAGUUCGUGCCAGCAGCCGCGGUAAGACGAACCGUGCGAACGUUGUUCGGAAUCACUGGGCUUAAAGGGCGCGUAGGCGGGCUGCCAAGUCCGGGGUGAAAUCUUUCGGCUUAACCGGAAAAUAGCCUUGGAUACUGGUUGUCUGGAGGGUGGUAGGGGCAUGUGGAACUUCCGGUGGAGCGGUGAAAUGCGUUGAUAUCGGAAGGAACGCCGGUGGCGAAAGCGACGUGCUGGACCACUUCUGACGCUGAGGCGCGAAAGCCAGGGGAGCAAACGGGAUUAGAUACCCGCGUAGUCC